rnacentral:rRNA from 1 species
UUUUAUGGAGAGUUUGAUCCUGGCUCAGGAUGAACGCUGGCGGCGUGCCUAAUACAUGCAAGUCGAGCGAACGGAUGAGAAGCUUGCUUCUCUGAUGUUAGCGGCGGACGGGUGAGUAACACGUGGAUAACCUACCUAUAAGACUGGGAUAACUUCGGGAAACCGGAGCUAAUACCGGAUAAUAUUUUGAACCGCAUGGUUCAAAAGUGAAAGACGGUCUUGCUGUCACUUAUAGAUGGAUCCGCGCUGCAUUAGCUAGUUGGUAAGGUAACGGCUUACCAAGGCAACGAUGCAUAGCCGACCUGAGA